rnacentral:rRNA from 1 species
UACGAAGGGGGCUAGCGUUGCUCGGAAUCACUGGCGUAAAGGGUGCGUAGGCGGGUCUUUAAGUCAGGGGUGAAAUCCUGGAGCUCAACUCCAGAACUGCCUUUGAUACUGAAGAUCUUGAGUUCGGGAGAGGUGAGUGGAACUGCGAGUGUAGAGGUGAAAUUCGUAGAUAUUCGCAAGAACACCAGUGGCGAAGGCGGCUCACUGGCC